CAGUACAACAUGGGGUGCCACGCAGUGGCUGAGAUAUACCCAUUGAACCUGCUCUCAGUUAGAACUAGCGAAGGGAUUGUUGUGGAUUGUUCAU
rnacentral:ncRNA from 2 species